UGCGACCUUUGACCCGGUCAACUUUCGUCCUGCCAACAAUCAAUCUCGUCCGUCAGAUCUGCGUUUCCCACCCCUUCCUUCCCGAUCAGGCCCCCGACGCCCGGUGCUCUUCCCCUCCUCUCCGACUCCUCCGCCGCGAGAGCCGCGGCCACCCGCCUCCGCCGCGCCGCCAGGGCGCGAGCCGCGCGCGCACUCGGCACCCCCCCCCUCCCCCUCCGCCGCGAACCGCGGCCACCAGCCUCCGCCUCGCCGGUGAGGUUGUUACCGUCCACCAUCAAGAUAGGCUUGCAGCUUCAUGAGGCUUUAAAUUCCUGGAGGUAUGCUGCUCCCGUUCAACGAAUUUACCGAUAGGUCCAGCAUCUCCAGCUCCUGCAUCUUCAGCACAUAGCUUGGGCAGAGGCUGGUUUGUUGAAAGGAGGAGGAAAUUUGGGCUUGGAUCGGAGUUACAUUCGAGCCGUGAUAAAAUUUCUUACUGUCACCCUGCUGCCUGCUGGCGAGCGAGAGGCUGAAACACACAAAUGAUUGAUCGUCGGCCAUUGCAAUUGCUAUUGAGGCCUCACUCAGGAUAAGGUGCUACCACUAAUGGUCAAUGUAACACUUUAAGGUAUGUAAAUUGCUGUCCAAUAUUGGUUGAGUUUAAUAUGCUUGCAUGUUGGUUCCCAUGCGCCGUGGGUGUCUUGUUCAGCUUCUUUUAUUUCCCCUAAUGGUUGCUACUUUCAUGAGAUUCAUGAAGGUCACAUUGGUAGAUUUACUUGCUUAUGGAGUUCGAGGAUGCAGGAAUUUUCUGCUCCUAUAUAUGUACGUGAACAGCUCCCGUAUUGCAGAGGAUCACCCAACGCGGGGGUCUAAGCACUCGAGGUUCGGGGGAGGGAGGCGGUUCAGGAGCCCAAUGCUGUAGCUACACAAGGGGUUGUUCUAAGGGUGUUACUCCCAAGUUUAGCUUAGCUACUCUUGUACCAGGUGCAAAAGGCAAAUGAUGUUAUUGGACCAGAAGCCUAGAAAUUGGUGUAUGCACUACCAAAUGGUAGUAUUUUGCACCUUGAAAAUGUUAGAUUCUACAAGAAGGACGAGAAGAACGACUAGGACUUUGCAAAUAAGCUUGCCUCCUACACCGAUCUUAUUAAAUUAAUCACACAAUCAUUUCUAUGUCAACUGUCAUGAGAUUUCAGUUGCAUGUGUCCUCCUAAAGCUUCGUUGGAGGAGGGCUGCAUUUAUUCUAAAGAAACAAAUAAAUAAACAAAUGGCAUGAUA